rnacentral:rRNA from 1 species
UACGAAGGGGACUAGCGUUGUUCGGAUUUACUGGGCGUAAAGCGCGCGUAGGCGGAUCGCUAAGUCAGGGGUGAAAUCCCAGGGCUCAACCCUGGAACUGCCUUUGAUACUGGCAAUCUGGAGAUCGGGAGAGGUUGGUGGAAUUCCGAGUGUAGAGGUGAAAUUCGUAGAUAUUCGGAGGAACACCAGAAGCGAAGGCGGCCAACUGGCCCGAUACUGACGCUGGAGGCGCGAAAGCGUGGGGAGCAAACAGG